rnacentral:rRNA from 1 species
UCAGGCCUAACACAUGCAAGUCGAGCGGUAACAUUUCUAGCUUGCUAGAAGAUGACGAGCGGCGGACGGGUGAGUAAUGCUUGGAAAUCUGCCUGGUAGUGGGGGACAACAGUUGGAAACGACUGCUAAUACCGCAUAACCUCUUCGGAGCAAAGUGGGGGACCCUCGGGCCUCACGCUACCAGAUGAGUCCAAGUGGGAUUAGCUAGUUGGUGAGGUAAAGGCUCACCAAGGCGACGAUCCCUAGCUGGUCUGAGAGGAUGAUCAGCCACACUGGAACUGAGACACGGUCCAGACUCCUACGGGAGGCAGCAGUGGGGAAUAUUGCACAAUGGGCGCAAGCCUGAUGCAGCCAUGCCGCGUGUGUGAAGAAGGCCUUCGGGUUGUAAAGCACUUUCAGUCGCGAGGAAAGGGUGGAUGUUAAUAGCAUUCAUCUGUGACGUUAACGACAGAAGAAGCACCGGCUAACUCCGUGCCAGCAGCCGCGGUAAUACGGAGGGUGCGAGCGUUAAUCGGAAUCACUGGGCGUAAAGCGCAUGCAGGCGGUUUGCUAAGCGAGAUGUGAAAGCCCCGGGCUUAACCUGGGAACGGCAUUUCGAACUGGCAAACUAGAGUCUUGUAGAGGGGGGUAGAAUUUCAGGUGUAGCGGUGAAAUGCGUAGAGAUCUGAAGGAAUACCAGUGGCGAAGGCGGCCCCCUGGA